UAGUGUUGUGUAAUUUUUAACUUUGUCCACCUCAGUCCAACACCAGCACCUCCAUGUCUUGAUUUAUGUAGAUUGGCUUCCUUAUCAAUUUGCGUACCUACUGUUUUGCGGUAGCAGUCUUGUGUUUACUUGUUAAACACAUUGUACAUUCUGAUUGCUAUUCAUUCUCUUUGCAUUUUAUUCCUUAAAACUCUUGUCCUUUUCUGAAAUAUCUUUUGAUGUCUUUGCCAUUUUAGGUUUUUAAGCCUUGUUAAGAUUGCUGGUAGUCCUGCUUUUGAAUUUCUGACAAAGAAGGCAUGACCAAAAAUUUAAGCCUGUCACUGAAAUUUCUUAUGGUCCAGUAGAUAGGUCAACCUGGAAUCCCUCACUAAGCAUCAAUUACACAAAUUAUCCUAUCACUGCACUUCACCUAUCCACUCACCAGUUUAAAGACACCCUGGAGAAUUUAAAGAGUCAGCUAUAGGACAUCAGAAGAUGACAUGCACAGCACAGCUUGACAGGAACAGUGUCUGGCUGCAAAAGCUGCUGGAAAGCCUUUAAUGGAGGAUGAAAUCAUUUCUCAUAUGCUGAGUCUGUCUUUUUUUAAGAGAAUGCAUUUUCAAUGUGAGGAUUUUUGGUGUCAUUUAGGGAAUUUGACCAGAAACUUCCAAAUACUUCCAACUCAAGUUGCACUAGACGAAUCCUCACAUUCAGCCUUGAAACCUGACAGCUCCAAACCUCCUGCAGUGUUAUAUCCCAUCAGAGCUCUGCUCGAUAGGUCUGUGGUCACAGUCAGGUUUGCACCUUGAUCAGAAUAAUGGAUGACUUGCCAAAAUGAAGCUGAAUAGUGGGGGACUCAAUUAAACUGUUGCCAUAGGGUCUGCUUGCAUUCAGAUAAAAGGAAACAUGGUAGCAAGACCAAAGAUAUUUGACCUUUGUGCUGUGUUUCAGAAAGCUAUUACUGCCUCAAUGUGUCCUACCUCAGUCUAUUUAACUGGCCAAGAGACAGAAAGUAGAAUGGUAAAAGAAAGCUAAACUUUAGAGCAAAUAGGAUUUCCUGAUGCAAUGUUGGAAUUUGGCUUUUUUUAAGAUUAAGGCUAGAGUCACUAGAUUUGAAAUAAUAACCUUUUUGGUAACUGGGCAUUAUUUUCCCAUUUCUCCCACUGCAUACAAACUAUGACAAUAAACUUGCCUUAAAAUUUUAAUGAAAAGCAUUUACUUGUAAAUGCUGUAACUUUUAAAUUCGUAUUUGCAGUCCAAAACAAUAUUCAAACAUUAUUUCUGAUAAUUAUCAAAUUUGCACUGACAAUUGAUUAAAAGAAAUAUGUAAUAGUACAGCAGUACCACUGACUGCUCUAGUCUGACUAGGGCACGUAUGUCUUAGCCACACUCUAAUGUGAGGGGACAUUUUAAAUUGAUUUUAGUACUGACUUUUUUCAGUUUUUGAGACAGUUGUACUUGCAAAUAAGAUAAUUGGUUUGACAUCCCACCUAAAAUUUCACCUACUUAUAAUUUAAAGUUCAUGUUAGCAAAUAAAAAUUAAUGCAAAAUGUAUGUAAAAACAUGCAAUAUGUUGUGCUCAAAAAUGGCAAUUUAUUCAGCAUAAGUAUUUGAGUACAAGUGUUUUUUGUACGGUGUGUGAGUAAACUGAUUUAAAAUCACUGAAUUACUUUUUAAGAACAAUACUAAAUAAUCUUGUUAUUUAUUACAUUUAGUGCUGUGGUCAGUUUUUACAGAACUAUUUUGGCACCCAAGUUUGAUAGCAAAUGAAUACAUUUUUCAUAUUUAAAAUACUUGAAAUAUGUCUACUAUUCUAGUGCCUUACUGGCUAAUGGAAUGAGCUUAACUUGAAGAUUCUGCUCAAGCACAAUUAGCAGAAACUUGGCAUGGUCAAUAUUUUAUUUUGGGUGUGUAACCAGUUUUGUGGGCAGGGUUGUGAUUACUAAACAUAUUAAAGUAAGUUUGCACAUAUGCAAAAUACCUUUUGUUGAAAUAGGUUUCAAUAACAUUUUUAGCUACAAUUUUUAAUGCAGAUCUUUGUACUCUUCUUGAAACCAUAUGCAGCUGUUUUUAAUGGAAACGCAUUUUUUUUCAAUUAUGCUUGCUUUGUACAGUUUUGGUCAGACGCAUACAGGUACUGAUGUCAGCCUUUGUAAGGUAUAUAAAAAACAUUAGUGAUCAACAUUAUUUUGUAAUGGUUAAGCAUUCACUUCUAUUUAUCUUCUUUGUGCAUCUUUAAACAUGCAACAAACUCAAUCAUAAUAUAGAUUUUUGCAGUGUUGUAUGUCUCAUGUCUGCAUUUUGUGAAAUCCACUGCUGAAAAUGUACUGACAAAUUUAAAUUUGUAUUUGUGCUAUUUAUUAUAGAAAUCAAAUAUUUUUUACAACAUGUUAGGAUUCUUUCUAACCUAUUUAUAUAAAUUAUUAAAAUUUUGAAAA